rnacentral:rRNA from 1 species
ACGGGAGGCAGCAGUGAGGAAUAUUGGUCAAUGGGCGGAAGCCUGAACCAGCCAUGUCGCGUGCAGGACUACGGCCCUACGGGUCUUAAACUGCUUUUGCAAGGGGAUAAAGUGGGGCAUGUAUGCCCCUUUGCAGGUACCUUGCGAAUAAGGAUCGGCUAACUCCGUGCCAGCAGCCGCGGUAAUACGGAAGGUCCGAGCGUUAUCCGGAUUUAUUAGGUUUAAAGGGUGCGCAGGCGGGAUAUUAAGUCGGCGGUGAAAUACCGUGGCCCAACCACGGGGCUGCCGUCGAUACUGAUGACCUAGAGUGCGUGUGACGUAGGCGGAAUGUGACGUGUAGCGGUGAAAUGCUUAGAUAUGUCACAGAACACCGAUUGCGAAGGCAGCCUACGAAUGCGUAACUGACGCUCAUGCACGAAAGCGCGGGUAGCGAACAGGAUUAGAUACCCUGGUA